UACGAAGGGGGCUAGCGUUGUUCGGAAUUACUGGGCGUAAAGCGCGCGUAGGCGGUGUUCCAUGUCAGAGGUGAAAUCCCGGGGCUCAACUCCGGAAUUGCCUUUGAAACGGGGACGCUUGAGUCCGAGAGAGGAUGGCGGAAUUCCUAGUGUAGAGGUGAAAUUCGUAGAUAUUAGGAAGAACACCGGUGGCGAAGGCGGCCAUCUGGCUCGGUACUGACGCUCAGGCGCGAAAGCGUGGGGAGCAAACAGG
rnacentral:misc_RNA from 1 species